GGAUAGGCAUAGGAGUAGACGUAGGGAUCUUCCAUCCAGUUACAUUAUUCGCUGCUUUCUUUGCUUCCAGUGACUAACCCCAGUGUCAGCUACACACACACACACACAAGCAUUCCAUUUUUCAUAAUAAAAAUUUAAUAA